rnacentral:rRNA from 1 species
AGUGAAGCGGGAUGAGCUCAAAUUUAAAAUCUGGCGGCUUUGCCGUCCGAGUUGUAAUCUGGAGAAGCGUUUUCCGCGUCGGACCGUGUACAAGUCUCUUGGAACAGAGCUUCAUAGAGGGUGAGAAUCCCGUCCAUGACACGGACCGCCGAUGCUUUGUGAUACGCUCUCGAAGAGUCGAGUUGUUUGGGAAUGCAGCUCAAAAUGGGUGGUAAAUUCCAUCUAAAGCUAAAUAUUGGCGAGAGACCGAUAGCGAACAAGUACCGUGAGGGAAAGAUGAAAAGCACUUUGGAAAGAGAGUAAAACAGUACGUGAAAUUGUUGAAAGGGAAACGCUUGAAGUCAGUCGCGUUUGCCGGGACUCAGCCUUGCUUCUGCUCGGUGUACUUCCCGGUAGACGGGUCAACAUCGAUUUUGGCCGACGGAUAAAGGGGUUGGGAAUGUGGCACUCUUCGGGGUGUGUUAUAGCCCUUCUUCCGCAUACGCCGGCCGGGAUCGAGGACCGCAGCGCGCCUUAAUGGCCGGGGGCUCGCCCCACGUUACGCGCUUAGGAUGUUGGCAUAAUGGCUUUUAAGCGACCCGUCUUGAAACACGGACCAAGGAGUCUAACAUGCUCGCGAGUGUUAGGGUGGAAAACCCUUGCGCGUAAUGAAAGUGAAAGUUGGGACUCUCGCGAGGGAGGCACCGACGCCCGGCCCUGAAGUUCUCUGACGGUGCUGCGGUAGAGCGCGUAUGUUGGGACCCGAAAGAUGGUGAACUAUGCCUGAAUAGGGCGAAGCCAGAGGAAACUCUGGUGGAGGCUCGUAGCGAUUUCUGACGUGCAAAUCGAUCGUCAAAUUUGG